rnacentral:rRNA from 1 species
UACGUAGGGUGCGAGCGUUAAUCGGAAUUACUGGGCGUAAAGCGUGCGCAGGCGGUUCGUUGUGUCGGCGGUGAAAGCCCCCGGGCUUAACCUGGGAAUGGCCGUCGAAACUGGCGAACUGGAGUGUGGCAGAGGGGGGUGGAAUUCCGCGUGUAGCAGUGAAAUGCGUAGAGAUGCGGAGGAACACCGAUGGCGAAGGCAGCCCCCCUGGGCUGACACUGACGCUCAGGCACGAAAGCGUGGGGAGCAAACAGGAUUAGAACUCCGUACG